rnacentral:rRNA from 1 species
CCGCGGGAUAGAGUUUGAUCCUGGCUCAGAAUCAACGCUGGCGGCGCGCUUAACACAUGCAAGUCGCACGAGAAAGGGGAGCAAUCCCUGAGUAAAGUGGCGCACGGGUGAGUAACACGUGGGUCAUCCACACUUCAGUGGGGAAUAACCCUGGGAAACCGGGGCUAAUACCGCAUACGCCUGAGAAGGGAAAGCAGCAAUGCGCUGGAGAAGGAGCCCGCGGCCGAUUAGCUAGUUGGUGGGGUAACGGCUCACCAAGGCGACGAUCGGUAGCCGGCCUGAGAGGGCACACGGCCACACUGGCACUGAAACACGGGCCAGACUCCUACGGGAGGCAGCAGUGGGGAAUCUUGCACAAUGGAGGAAACUCUGAUGCAGCGACGCCGCGUGAGCGAUGAAGCCCUUCGGGGUGUAAAGCUCUUUCGACGGGAACGAUAAUGACGGUACCCGGAGAAGAAGCUGCGGCUAACUACGUGCCAGCAGCCGCGGUAAUACGUAGGCAGCGAGCGUUGUUCGGAAUUACUGGGCGUAAAGAGUGUGUAGGCGGUGCUCUAAGUUCGGUGUGAAAUCUCCCGGCUUAACUGGGAGGGUGCGCCGGAAACUGGAGUGCUCGAGCAUGGGAGAGGAAAGCGGAAUUCCUGGUGUAGCGGUGAAAUGCGUAGAUAUCAGGAGGAACACCUGCGGUGUAGACGGCUUUCUGGACCAUAGCUGACGCUGAGACACGAAAGCGUGGGUAGCAAACAGGAUUAGAUACCCUGGUAGUCCACGCCCUAAACGAUGCAUACUUGGUGUGAGCCAUUCAGUUGGUUCGUGCCGGAGCUAACGCGUUAAGUAUGCCGCCUGGGGAGUACGGUCGCAAGGCUGAAACUCAAAG